AGCUCCUUCCACCAACAUUCUGUCCCACCAAAGAGUGAACACUGUAGGAACAUUGAGCAACACGGAGAGGUUCAGCAAGGAGCUGGAGCCAGGAGGUGGCAGAAUCGGGAUUUGAAUUGAGCUGGACUGACUUCGGAGAACACCUCCUUAGCCUCGAAAUCAUAUAGUCCCCAGUUGGCUGCUGGUGACGUCAGUAACAGUGCCUUUAGAAGUAUGGUGGGGACAAUACCCAGAAACUGAGCAUUGAAUGGGAGCUGGUUAAUUGAGAGACUGAGAAGAGUUGAAAGCAUUUCCACAGAGAAUCACACUGACAAAGUCCAAUGAUCUGGCUGGUGGUCAGUUCAAGAUUAGGAUCUCUGGCUUGAGUAAAAAGCAUCAUACGUAGGAUCGUCUCCAUACCUGGAAUUUCAAGUGGUUUCCAGAGUUAUCACAAGCAUCUUCCCUGAGCUUCAAAUACAACAAGAAUUUGGGUAUUUUCUACAUACCAGUCACAGUGACAAAUAUUUUCCCCUGCUCUAUUUUAUUUACUACCUAUCAUACCUCUCCAGAGUGGAGAUUCUUUCUAAACCCAGCAAGAUUUUCUUUUACUUG